rnacentral:lncRNA from 1 species
ACUAACACAUGACACAGCAACCAUGGUGCCACCCUCCACCCAUCAGACUCGAAGAACCCUAGCAGAGCCUCUUCAGUCUUCACACCCUUAUAGCCUUACUCACCCCCUCACUAACGGCGACUAUGACAAAUCGGUGUUCACUCCCUCACAGCGGCAACUGAAGGUUGAACAACGCAAACUCACUCUCACUCAUGGCGGUCACUAGCUCGCUCAAGGCAGGCUGCAGCAACGUCGUCGUUGUCGCGUUGUCUCCACUUCUCUAGAAUCGUUGAGUCGAGUGUGCGUAACCCUCUGAAGGCAACAAUGUCAUCAUCUCCACCGUGCAUCGUGCAGUUCAGCAUCGUUAACUUCUCCUCCGGUCUUUGACAGUCGUCUUCUUCAGUCAGGUAAGGAUCCAGUUUUUUAGUUUUCACUUGUUUUUGCCUUAGUCUCUUGGUCAUCUUUCCUCUUCUCCUAUUUUAUUUUUCUCUGUUAAGUUUUAAUUUCUUUUGUAUUCUCUGUCUCUGUUCAAUUUUUAGUUCAAUUGGUUUGUUAUGAGAAAUUGAGGUUGUUCUUUUUACUCUAUUCAAUUUUUUGUUCGAUUGGUUUAUUUUUAAAAUUUUGAGUUCUAAGUUCUUGUUGAAAUGUAUGUUGGUGACGAAUUUUGAGUUCUUGGAAAAAAAUAUCAAAUUAUAUUGUUCUGUACAUAUUGUAAAAAUUCUGAGUGGCUGAUGUUUUAUUAUAUUUUUUUGUAAAUUGAAAAAUGACAAAAACUAAUUCUGUUGAACAUUCUUGGUUGAUGAAAUAAAAGAUUAUGGAGUGAAGGCUUUUAAAGACUUAAUGUGGUUGCACUUUUAAUAUGGUAAAUAUGUUGAGUUUGUUGUGUUUUUAGUUUUUAAUAUGUUUUGAGUUUGUUGUGUUUGGUGUUUAAUAUGUUUGAAUUUUUAUGUCUCUGUUGUUUAGAUUUUGUUAUUAUUAGAAUGUUAUUGACUUGUUAGAUUAUAUUACAUAUUUAAAGAAUUUUUUAAAAAAAUUUCUCACUUUUUUAAAUUUUUUUCUUAUGAAUUUUUAUUUCAUCAGGUAUCCGAACCAAUCCAGUUUUUAUCAGUUUGGUUUAGUUUGGGUACACACAUAAAAAAAAGUAAACCAAACCAAAUUGAACUAAUUAUUAGUUGGUUUGGUUUUCAUUUCACUCCAAAUCUGAACUAAACUGACCUGUGAACACCUUUGAUAAUAUGCUUUAAUUGACAUUAAUUUUAAUUUAUUUUCUUUUGUAACCAUUAAUUCACUGAUUCAUGUAACGACCUAGUUUUCUGCGAAACGAAACUUUUUCUGAAGAAACGAAGUAUUUUCAGAAGUUCAGUGAAGCAGGCACCUCCAACCACCUCUACUGCAUCAUCAAGCACCUCAUUCUACAUCAUCAUCAUGUCAUCACUAAGCAAGAACCUCUUUUGAGCAAGGUUCUGAGAACCGGACCGGUCAUUGAACCGGUCAAGUGACCGGUUCAAUGGUUCACUGGUCUGACCGGGGUCGAACCGUGGUUAAACCGAUUUAAUUAAAUAUACAGUGAAAUUAUAAAAAAAAAUUCAAUAUACAAAUCACAACAUUGAAUAUAGCAUUAAAAAAAUCCAGAACCACAGAAUCCAGAAUCCAUAAUCCAAAAUAUUCUAUAUAGCAUUCAAAAUAAAUAAAAAAACUCAAGCAGAUUUUGAGUGAACAUCAGAUUGCAAAAGAGUCUUUUAUACUUUAUGUAACAAACAAACCACACAAGCAACAAUCAGCAUCCAUUGAAAACAAGAUCAUUCAUUCAUAACAAAGUUCUGUUGUAUGGUUUGGACCAACAAUGGGCCUGAAGCCCUGAACACACACUUUAUCAAUUGACAUAGAAAAUUAUCUACCCUAGGACAAAGUAUAGCAAUGCUAUUGCACACUAAGCAAAUUGAAAAUUUCUGUAAAACUCAAAUCAAAAAUCCAAAUUUCUUGUACAGCAUUAUGUUGUUGUUGCUGAACAUUUUGUGACUGUUCCAUCUAAAUUGAACAUAGCAGAAUUGAAAACACAACGAAAUAGAAGCACAGAGCAGAUUAAAAUUCUCAAAUUCAACAUACAUCAAAUUAAUUCUCAAACUCAACAUACAACAAAUUUAUUUAACAUUUCAUUAAUCAUAUAAAAAUUGAUAUAUUGAAGAAGAACAGAAGCCAGGAAUAAAAACAGAGUAUAAACACAAGAAGUCAAGAACAGAAGCUCAGAACAAAAAAUGAACAGAAGAACAGAAGCCAGAAACAAAAUAAAAAAAUUACAGGAAUAUGAACAGAAGAUCAGAAGCCCAGAACAAAAAAUGAAAACAUCAAGAAGCCAAGAACAGAAGAAAGAGCCAGAAACCAGAACUUAUCGCAAGAUGAAGUAGAGAACAGAAGGCCAGAAGCUCGAGCCUCGAAAUAGAGAACAGAACCGUGAGCGACGACCCGCGUCGGUGGGCGACGAGCCGCGACGGUGAUGGACUACCCGCGACAGUGACCCUUGAUUCACGGUGUUAGUUCUCCUUCGUAUGCAGAAGCUCCAGCCUCGGCGGUGCUUCACGACCCGCGACCGAAACCCAGAAACCCAGAAGCCAGAAACCCAGAACCCGCAACGGUGCUUCACGACCAGUGACCAAAACCCAGAAACCCAGAACCCGCAACGGUGCUUCACGACCAGCGACCAAAACCCAGAAACCCAGAACCCGCAACGGUGCUUCACGACCAGCGACCAAAACCCAGAAACCCAGAACCCGCAACGGUGCUUCACGACCAGCGACCAAAACCCAGAAACCCAGAACCCGCAACGGUGCUUCACGACCCGCGACCAAAACCCAAAAACCCAGCAGCCGCAACGGUGCGCGACGACCCGCGACGGUGGGAGUGUUCUUCACGGCGUUCGUCGGUUGUCCGUCGUUUGCAGAUUGUCUAGCCUCGAGCUUAGGGUUGGGAGUGGAGUGUUGAGUGUUCUUGGGAGAUUUUGGGAGAUUAGGGAUUGAUUUAGGGUAAACUGAUGCUUCUACCUGCGUUGUUCAGCGCUUCAGCCUUUUUUUUUUUAUUAUAAAAUAGCACCGUUUCAAUAGCAGGAGGGAAAACCGGUAUUUGGAAAAUCGGGCCGGUUCGCCCGGUUCGCCGGUUAACCACCGGUUUUUUGCAACGCGGUUUUGCAUGUUGACCGGACUGGCUAAGUGACCGGUUUCCGGUUAACCCGGUUGAACCGGCCGGUCCGGUCCGGUUUUCAGAACAUUGCUUUUGAGAUAAGCUCGACGUUACAGUCGUGAAAAACCUAGUUUUUGAGCCGUUUUGAUUAGGAGCUUUAGACUCCGAUUUUUGUAGCUAAUCUCUAUUUGAUUAGCCAAACUCCAUUUAUGAGAGAAGAGAGAUAGUAAUAUAAUAUUAUUAUUAUAUUAAUAUUAGAGAUGCUUGAAUAAUAUUAUAACAUUAUUUGAUCUGUUUUAGUUAAAACAAGUUAAAACAAGAGAUCGGUUUAAUUGGGAUCACAGUCUUCUGGUGCAAGUUAACACCAGCACUCUCUAAUGACUUUAGCAAUACUAAUACCUCAUCAUAUACCUUUUAUUCUCAUGUUAAUCAUGUUACUAGUGUCAUUUAUACUAGUAGCUCAGAUAUUAAUUUUUAGAUGUGUUGUGAAGUGUGUGUUCUAAUAUAUCUAGUUUUAGAAAUAAUACAUCUGAGAUAUUUUAAUAUUAUUUUAACCACCUCACAAGCUAGUCAAAUCACGGAUCUCCCUUCACCCUCAAGACCUCCAAGGUUGCUGCAUUUCCUCAUUGUGGCCGAAAAUUUGCAAGAGAGAAAAGAGAGAAAAGUUCUUGGUUCUUGAUCUUCAAAGCUUGAUUUUUUCUGAACUAAAACUCAAAUCAAAACUCUAAUACGAUUAAAAUGAUCCUCUCUUCUUUCUCUUGACAAUCAUAUGACUAAUCAAGGUUGGAAACAAGGUGAGAUGGUUGUUCUCUUCCCCUUUGAAUUCAGUUUCAAGAACACAUGCAUAAACAUGUGUUUUUUUGAUGUUCUUCUAUAGGUAUCAUGCUUAGCUUGACUUGAGGGCCAAGGAACUUUAAAGUCCAACAAGAUUAAGGUGAGAAAUCUCAUCCUAACUGGUGGUUGAAGGUUUGGUCAGUUAGGGUUUUGAGGAUUUAAAGUUGUUCUUAAUGUGAUUUAAAAGGAAAAAGUGCUCUAGGAACACCUUGAAGCAUAGCCGAAAAUAGGGGCAGAAAAUAAAUGUAUGUUUGGUGAAAUUAAUCUUAAUUAAUUGUGUUUAAGUUGUAUGAUUAUGAUAUGGUUUAGUUGUGCUUGAAAUUGAUUGUUUAUAUGAGUGAUUCUUGGUGAAAUUUUGGUGAAAAUUUGAUGAAAUUUGAUAAAAUUCAAGCUAUGAAUUUGUGUUGAAAACAAGUGGAAAUCAAUGGAGCUUUGGUGGCUGUAAUUUUAAUUUGAAUUUUAGAAAAAAUCGGUUACUGAAAAGAUUGAAAAACGGGUAAGAAUCAAAGAAAGAAUCUGAAGAAUUUAUGAAAAAUACGAAGAACACUUUGAGUAUGAUGAAGAACAAUAAAAAAUACCUUUUUUAUCUUAGGAGAGGCCAAAUUAUAAAUAUUUUUGUGUUAAUGGGGUUAAAGUGCAAUUACUAAAAGUUUAGGGGGUUAAAGUAUAAAUAUCAAAAGUUAAGAGGGUCAAAAUAUAAUUUUUAUAAAAUUUUGGGGCCACUUUGUAAAUUUUUGAAAAAAUAUAAUAAAAUAUUAAUAAAUUUAAUUAAUAAAAAAUAUUAAAUACUAUUAUUUUAUUAAAAAUAAUAAAAUAAUAGCGAAAAAACAAUUUUUUGUAAAAGCCUUAUGAAGACAAUUUAAUUUUAGAAUUUCAUAAUUCCCUUCAUAAAACAUCUAUGGAGUGGUAAGAACAUGUUAGUGAGGAGAAGAUAAAAGAAAGAUAAAACGUUGAAGAAAAGAUAAAAAUCGAAGAAAGAGUCGGUAAAGUUUUAAAGGCAAAGAUAAAUGUCGAUUAAGGAAGCAAUCUAGGAGCAACAUAAUUAGUGCUUGAUUGUGGUUAGGGUUAGGUAUUACAUGAAUUGUUGAGAUUUAGAAAGGAUAAUAAAAAAUGUUUAAAGGCGAAAAAAUCCCACAAAUUGUUAGUUGUUUAACUACGGGAAAAUUUCACGAAUUGAUAGUGUUAAAUACGGGAAGUACCCACAAACUGAAUAAUCAUUGGUCUUAAAAAAAUCUAUGAAUUGUUAUUUGUUUUAUAUGCGGAAAAAAUUCACGAAUUGAUAAUCAUUGAUUACGGGAAUAACCCACGAACUGUUGUAUGUUGAUCUCGGAAAAAACCCACAAACUGAGGAUCACUGUUCUGUUGUGUGUUAAUCUCGAGGACGCCCACGAAUUGAGGAUCGUUGUUUUCCUUCUGUGUAUAUUAUGGCGUCGAGCUUUGCGCCGACUGUCGGUAGUCACGAAGGAGUAGUAUUCUUAAUCACCGACACGUAUACACAAAGGAUGCAAUGGGAAACCAUAUCUAGGACUAGUUUCUAGGUAAUGUCGGACUGCAGGGUGUAAACUGACACGUGAGCUCAUGACCUGCAUAGGACAGACAUGCAUCAUACUUGGUUGCGCAUUCACUCUGUUAUGAUUGUUGUAUGAAUGUAUGUUUUCUCUGUUUGUAUUCUAUUCUCUGUGUUUACUGUGUGCUAUUAUUAUGUAUUUCUCUAUUUGUAUUCUGUUUCUCAAUUUUUUCUGUUUAUCUAUUCUCUAGUUUUCUUCUAUUUACUGUAAAAUAUAUUACUAACUGAUAAGCACAAUGGAAGCGAUUAAUAUGACUAAUUAGCCUAACUCUAUUAAGAACUUCCCAGUUCUUACCUCCUUUCUCCCCCUUCAGAUGGAGGCAGGAAUACUCUUCUGUAAUCCACUGAUGAUCAUUUUGCAAAGAGAAUUCUACUUUAGGUAGCCUUCUAAGUCUAGGGCAAACUCUAUUCUGUGUUUAUAUAUAAAUACUAUGAGACCAGUCGACGUCUGCACCCCGUUUGAAUACGAACUUUUACCUAAAUCCUUUGUACGAGGUUCCUGUUUUGUGGCUACUUGAUGGAGUACCAGUGAGACGCCCUAUGACAACAUAUGAUCGUGUAGAGGAGUAGUAGAUGAUAUUCUACCUUUUGAUGAUGUUCCAUCUGACCUGAGUUUUGAAGAGGUAGAACAUACUUUCCCUCGCUUUGUAGUUUAGAGGGAUUUAGGUGAGUAUAGAGUCUAGGCUAGCUUGGGGACUUCUUGAAUAGGUCAGAGCCUAGGAUGUGGUAUGUUAUAUAUGUAUAAAGUUAUCAUCUAGCUAUAUCUAGGGGUGUUCUAACUAAGAUCUAUACUCUAACAAAGGCUAGAUAACUGAACGUUGUUAAUUACUUGAGAUGUUUAUUGAUGCGUAAGCAUCUUUCCUAUCUUUUUCUAGUGAAUUUGCAUUCAAAUUGUUGAGUUUAAUCAAGAUUUAAUUACCUUUAGCCACUAUGAAUGCUAUUUUGAGUUGUUUGCAAUUUAUGUUUAUUUCAGGUAGCAUUCGGAUGGAUUCGAUGGAGUUUUGUAGCAGAAAAGGAAGAAAGCGAAUGAUGCUGUCAACCCUGACCUCCUUACACUCAAAUAGAAAUAACUUGAGCUACCGAGGUCUAAUUGACGUGAUUUCAGUGGCAUUGAAAAGCUAACUUCUAGAGCUUUUCAACAAUAUAUAAUAGUAUAACAUUUUCUUCCAUUUCGUACGGAUCACUUCACGCUAAACUUGAGGAAGCUCAAGUUUGGCGCCAACCAAGAAGCCUCAAGGAAGAAUACACGCUGCCAUCUCCACGCGGAACUUGAGUUUACUCAAGUUCGGCGCCAGCCUGAAAAGUCCAAAGGAAGCAUUGCGCACAAUUUCCACGCCAAACUUGGUUUCCCCCAAGUUUGGCGCCACACCUUUAGGCAAUGGUGGUCCCCAAUUCGUCUACACAAGGCUGC